ACCUACGGGAGGCUGCAGUAGGGAAUAUUGCGCAAUGGACGAAAGUCUGACGCAGCCACGCCGCGUGAGUGAGGAAGGCCUUCGGGUUGUAAAGCUCUGUCGGCUGGGAAAAACGGCUAUCCGGGGAAAGUUCGGGUAGCGUGAUGGUACCAGCAAAGGAAGCACCGGCAAACUCUGUGCCAGCAGCCGCGGUAAUACAGAGGGUGCAAGCGUUGUUCGGAAUUACUGGGCGUAAAGCGUGCGUAGUCGGUAUUGAGAGUCGCGGGUGAAAUCCCAGGGCUUAACCCUGGAACUGCCUGCGAGACCUGAGUACUAGAGUGUGAGAGGGGAUAGUGGAAUACCCAGUGUAGCGGUGAAAUGCGUAGAGAUUGGGUGGAACACCGGUGGCGAAGGCGGCUAUCUGGCUCACAACUGACGAUCAGGCACGAAAGCGUGGGGAGCAAACAGGAUUAGAUACCCUUGUAGUCU
rnacentral:rRNA from 1 species